GGGAAUAUUGCACAAUGGGGGAAACCCUGAUGCAGCGACGCCGCGUGGGUGACGAAGUAUUUCGGUAUGUAAAGCCCUAUCAGCAGGGAAGAAGAUGACAGUACCUGACUAAGAAGACCCGGCUAACUACGUGCCAGCAGCCGCGGUAAUACGUAGGGGGCAAGCGUUAUCCGGAUUUACUGGGUGUAAAGGGAGCGCAGGUGGCAUGGCAAGCCAGAAGUGAAAACCCGGGGCUUAACCCCGCGGAUUGCUUUUGGAACUGUCAGGCUGGAGUGCAGGAGGGGCAGGCGGAAUUCCUGGUGUAGCGGUGAAAUGCGUAGAUAUCAGGAGGAACACCGGUGGCGAAGGCGGCCUGCUGGACUGUAACUGACACUGAGGCUCGAAAGCGUGGGGAGCAAACAGG
rnacentral:rRNA from 1 species